rnacentral:rRNA from 1 species
GAUCCUGGCUCAGGAUGAACGCUAGCUACAGGCUUAACACGUGCAAGUCGAGGGGAAACGACAUCGAAAGCUUGCUUUUGAUGGGCGUCGACCGGCGCACGGGUGAGUAACGCGUAUCCAACCUGCCCAUCACUUGGGAAUAACCUUGCGAAAGUAAGACUAAUGCCCAAUGAUAUCCCACGAAGGCAUCCGAAUGGGAUUAAAGAUUUAUCGGUGAUGGAUGGGGAUGCGUCUGAUUAGCUUGG